CAGGGCUCGGAAUCCGAUCGGCUCUGGAAUAAUCGUCCCGCCCGGCCUCCUUCCUCGGACACCUCCUUCCCCAAAGGGGUCCUGGUCGUCAGCCUGGGGAGGCUCCCGGCCCCCUGGAGUCCUGGGCUUUCCCGUGAGCCUGCGGGAACCGGGGCCGUCUCUGCAGUUGGCGAGCAUCGGUGGAGACGCUCCCAGGAAUUCAUCAUGAGUGAGUCACGCAUCGGUCCACAGCACUGUUUGUAGCAUAUGAUACUCAUCACGGCGUUCUUUAUAAUAAAGAGCUGGAAACAACGAGACGUGGGGUGGCAGGGGCUUGCUUAAUUUUCUGCGCGGCUCGUGUAUUCACUGCCGUAAUUGUGUUAACAAUUGUACUGAAGCUCCUGACGGCCUCCUCUCUACACUGCUGCUGGAAUGAUGCCUCGAAGGCCCAGGGGGACCCCAACCGCACUCAGUCACCUCUGAGGGGCCUCCAGUCCUCCAGGGGAAUUGUGGAGGCCUAUAGAGCCUGGCCGGCUAAGAUUUAAGGCAGGAAUGUUUGUAGCCCGGGAGACGGCUGGCUGGCUGAGAAGCAGCAAAGCAGACCAGGAAAACGGGUCUCCUUUGAAAGGUCAAGGCUGGAAGCAGCCUGUGGGUCAACAUGUUUUCUCACCCUGUAAAUGCUUAAUCAAAAGCAGUAAAACAGCCCCCUUCCUGUGACGUAUACACCGCCCCGUCACGUUCCCCUCGCUGUCUGCACAUCACUACCCUGAUCUCACUGUUGCCCUGGAUCACUUAGGAGUAUGCUUUGUCCCUGCUUUUGAAACUGCGCGUCCCUUUCCCCUGCACCCCUUGAAACGUACUGGUAAGAUUCUCGGCAAAAACCGUAGAAGAGCUUUGCUCGGGGCGUCACCCCUAGAGCGCUUGGCCCCCUCGCCCUCUCCUUUCUCUGCUUCAGGGGUCUGGAGUAAUCUGUCACCCGCCGCCCCAGGGUUUGCUGGUCAACCCGGCAGGGAAUCCUCCUCGUCCCGCUCCCCGUGUGUCCCCCGCCACAGCCCCGCCAUUACCUGCAGC